rnacentral:rRNA from 1 species
CAGUCGCCACGGUAAUACGAAGGGUGCAAGCGUUACUCGGAAUUACUGGGCGUAAAGCGUGCGUAGGUGGUGGUUUAAGUCCGUUGUGAAAGCCCUGGGCUCAACCUGGGAAUUGCAGUGGAUACUGGGUCACUAGAGUGUGGUAGAGGAUAGCGGAAUUUCCGGUGUAGCAGUGAAAUGCGUAGAGAUCGGAAGGAACAUCUGUGGCGAAGGCGACUAUCUGGGCCAACACUGACACUGAGGCACGAAAGCGUGGGGAGCAAACAGGAUUAGAUACCCCUGUAGUCCCUGUCUCUUAUAC